GACGAAGGAUGCAAGCGUUAUCCGGAUUCAUUGGGUUUAAAGGGUGCGUAGGCGGACUGAUAAGUCAGUGGUGAAAUCUCUGAGCUUAACUCGGAAACUGCCAUUGAUACUAUCUGUCUUGAAUUAUCUGGAGGUGAGCGGAAUAUGUCAUGUAGCGGUGAAAUGCUUAGAUAUGACAUAGAACACCAAUUGCGAAGGCAGCUCACUACGGAUAUAUUGACACUGAGGCACGAAAGCGUGGGGAUCAAACAGG
rnacentral:rRNA from 1 species